UACAGAGGUCCCGAGCGUUGUUCGGAUUUAUUGGGCGUAAAGGGUGCGUAGGCGGCGGAGUAAGUUGGGUGUGAAAUCCCGGGGCUCAACCUCGGAAUUGCAUUCAAUACUGCUUCGCUCGAGUACUGGAGAGGAGGCUGGAAUUUACGGUGUAGCAGUGAAAUGCGUAGAUAUCGGGAGGAAUACCGAUGGCGAAGGCAGGUCUCUGGGCUAUAACUGACGCUCAUGCAUGAAAGCGUGGGGAGCAAACAGG
rnacentral:rRNA from 1 species